rnacentral:lncRNA from 1 species
CAGUUAUCCCCUGAAACUCAGCUUAACGGACAGUAAAUGGUCACCCACAAAGCAAGGUCUGGAGCUCCCAGAAAGAGCCUGGCAGCUUCCCCUCCCCCUUUCCCUUGUUUAUACUACGUGCAGCACUCAGCAUAGCUCCUGGCGCCUGGGAUGUGUUUACAUUGAAACCAGUUUGCAGUGGGCUUCGGAAGAGUGACUUCUUUAUCCUGGAAGGUCUUUACAGAAAGACCAGUCUGAUUUUCCAGCUCUGGUCCAAAGACUGGCAUUUUCUCCUCUCCAGUGUCAAGAGUUUCAAAGCCUGAAAGGAAGCAGUGACAGAAAUGGAAAGGAUGAUGGGGAUUUAAAGCAGAACCCAAAACAUCUUAAGAAUCUUACUCUGGGUCUCUCUGGCCCCGCCCAUACUAGUCCAUUUUUCAGUGAGCAGAUGAACCUUUUCAAAUAAAUGAAGACGCCUGUGAUAUGAUUCCAGAACUGAUGGACUGCAGAUCGAAAAGGAAAGGGGGGAACUGCGUCUGGAGACGUAUAGUUCUGACAAGCAGGCGUGCAAGUUCACUCCGUCCUAGGAUUCCCAAAUGUAAAGAAAGUUUCCACUGGACACAGACCCCAGGGCAGAGGUUUUCUUUGAAGAUGUUUCCUGCUGCUAAGUCACUUCAGUCGUGUCCGACUCUGUGCGAUAGAUGGCAGCCCACCAGGCUCCCCCAUCCCUGGGAGUCUCCAGGCAAGAACACUGGAGUGGGUUGCCAUUUCCUUCUCCAAUGCAUCAAAGUGAAAAGUGAAAGUGAAGUCGCUCAGUCGUGUCUGACUCUUCGCGACCACAUGGACUGCAGCCUACCAGGCUCCUCCAUCCAUGGGAUUUUCCAGGUAAGAGUACUGGAGUGGGGGUGCCAUUGCCCUGUUUGAUAAGCU